rnacentral:rRNA from 1 species
GGUUUGAUCAUGGCUCAGAACGUACGCUGGCGGCACGCCUAACACAUGCAAGUCGAACGAAGUAGCAAUACUUAGUGGCAGACGGGUGAGUAACAUGUGGGUAUCUGCCCUUUGGCCUGGAAUAACACGAGGAAACUUGUGCUAAUACCGGAUAAGUCUUUACAGAGAAAGCUUUAUGCACCAUUGGAUGAGCCCGCACUUGAUUAGUUUGUUGGUAGGGUAAUGGCCUACCAAGACUGUGAUCAAUAGCUGAUUUGAGAGGAUGAUCAGCCACAUUGGGACUGAGACACGGCCCAAACUCCUACGGGAGGCAGCAGUGGGGAAUCUUGCACAAUGGAGGAAACUCUGAUGCAGCGAUGCCGCGUGAGUGAAGAAGGCCCUUGGGUUGUAAAGCUCUUUCGUCGGGGAAGAAAAUGACUGUACCCGAAUAAGAAGGUCCGGCUAACUUCGUGCCAGCAGCCGCGGUAAUACGAAGGGACCUAGCGUAGUUCGGAAUUACUGGGCAUAAAGAGUUCGUAGGUGGUUGAAAAAGUUGGUGGUGAAAUCCCAGAGCUUAACUCUGGAACUGCCAUCAAAACUUUUCAGCUAGAGUUUGAUAGAGGAAAGCAGAAUUUCUAGUGUAGAGGUGAAAUUCGUAGAUAUUAGAAAGAAUACCAAUUGCGAAGGCAGCUUUCUGGAUCAUUACUGACACUGAGGAACGAAAGCAUGGGUAGCGAAGAGGAUUAGAUACCCUCGUAGUCCAUGCCGUAAACGAUGUGUGUUAGACGUUGGAAAUUUAUUUUCAGUGUCGCAGCGAAAGCGAUAAACACACCGCCUGGGGAGUACGACCGCAA